AACCUGAAGGAUUAAAUUCAAAACAAGAUUUAUUUAUUUUUAAAUCUUUUUUAUGUUGUUUUUAAAUUUAUUAUUCUUUUUUGUUGCUAAUAUAUGAUUUAUUUUGGUAUGGUAUUUCUUUCUAAUGCUUACUCUCUUUGGUAGGAUUAUCAAUGUAUUUGGGUCUAUAUAUUAUCAAUGUUGUAAUCGGAGGAAGUAUUUUGUUCAAAUAUUGUAAGUAAAAUUACUUUUUAUCAAUGUUAUGAAAAUUAAAUCGGAGCUUGUGAAUAAUGAAAUUAAUAAAUAAACAAGGUAAGGGAUUGGUCCUCU
rnacentral:lncRNA from 1 species